CGCGUAGGUAACCUGCCUUGUAGCGGGGGAUAACUAUUGGAAACGAUAGCUAAUACCGCAUAACAAUGGAUGACACAUGUCAUUUAUUUGAAAGGGGCAAUUGCUCCACUACAAGAUGGACCUGCGUUGUAUUAGCUAGUAGGUGAGGUAACGGCUCACCUAGGCGACGAUACAUAACCGACCUGAGAGUGUGAUCGGCCACACUGGGACUGAGACGCGGCCCAG
rnacentral:rRNA from 1 species